rnacentral:lncRNA from 1 species
AGAAGCCCUAAAAAAUCUCACUAGUCUCUCAUUAUCUCCCGCUUCGCUGCUCCCACUCAAAUCGUCGAUGGCAUUGGCAGCCAUCUUCGAUUUUCAGUUUCCCACUCCUUUCACCGAGAUCUGAACUGGGCUUUUAAGGUUUUGAUUUAGAUUUUUGGAUCUAAAAGAUAUGUGUUUUUUGAGGAACUUGGGGCUUAUAAAUUGUAAAUUUCUCGGUUAAAGCUAAAAGAUUAGGUGUUGUGGUAGUUUUUAGCUGAAACGUGGUUGAUGAUCAGUUCAAGAUUUGGCAUAUGAAUUUCUUGGAAAUCAAAUUCUGGCUUGGGGAAGGGGAAGGCUUCAAUGGGGCAGUUGGAUGAAAAAGAAAAUAAGCUUUCAUAUCAAGAUACUCAUAUCCCUCUUUUCUCUAUGAGUUUUUCUAUCUUGAUUCUUGAGCAAGGGAGAUUUUAUUAUAAUUGUUAGGAUUGCAAGGAUUUAUUUCAAGAUUUCCUUCCCUAUAUAUGUCUCUUCUAUAUGAUAUCGUAGUUAUUAAUUUUUUGCCAUUAAUACUCCUUUUCAUUUUUGCUUUGUGAUUUCGAAAUUCACAUCAAAAAAUUUAUUCUUCAAAAUAAUACCAUUUUAUGAGGAUAUAGUAGUACAAGAAUUUUUACAAUUUUAGUUUGAUUUCCAGGUGAUAAGAAUUGCCUGAAUUUUGAACUUUGGCAUUCCUGUGCUGAUCCUCUCGUUUCUCUACCUGCUGUUGGGACUUGGGAGCCAUGUGAUAUAUUUUCUGCAGGGUCACAGUGAACAGGUUUGUUUCUUGGCUUUUUGUUUUGAUAAAAGUUACAAUUUUCUCAAGGUCGAAUGUUGUUAAGCUUGGUACAUUUACUAUUAAUUUGUUUUUGUUUGGAAUGUUUGGCUGGUGCUCUUGAUGGCAGUGGUGUUUUAAUUACAAAGAGCAUGUUUAGAUCAUGAUUUCUCAGUAUUUUGGUGACUUUAAUAUUUGUUGAUAGAUUGUCCCGAACCGACCAACCCAACCCGACCGACAUUUGGUUGGGUUGGGUUGGGUUUCAAUCCUUGCAUGGGUUGGGUUGGGUUGAAUUUCAAUCAAACUGACCAUGUUGGGUUGGGUUUGGGUUGGGGCAAAAACCAACCCAACCCACGCCCACCCCUAACUGUAAGAUAGUUCAAACUUCCCACUAGCUGACGAUAUAAAGAGGGAUAAAAAAGAAGAUCCCCUUCCUCCUUGCUCUACUUUACAUUUACCUCCAAAAAAGUGUCAACAACUUUACCAUCCCGAAGUCCACCUAAUGCAAUCAAUUCCUCUAUAUACUUAUGCUGAUGUAGAUAAGUCCCGGACGGACUUGAAAGCACCUCUAGACCUAAGAAGUAUUGUAAAUAUCCCAAAUCCUCCAUAUGAAAUGACUCCUUAAGUCGGUUUUGAAGGUGAGAUAUCAAUCCCAAGUAUGUCCAUGUAAUAACUAUAUCAUCCACAUAGAUAAGAAGGAACACAAUACCUACCUCGCUGACAGAGAUAAAGAGCGAUAAGUCAUACUGGCUCUGAGUAAAUGAGAAUCCCAAGAGAGUGGAACGAAACUUGUCAAACCAAGCACGAGGAGCCUGUUUCAGCCCAUAAAGUGAACACUUUAGCUUAAAAACCUCAAAAGAGGGUUUGGAGAAGAGACUUGGUGGAGGAGACAUAUAGAUCUCUUCCUGAAGAUCACCAUGCAAAAAAGCAUUUUGACAUCCAUCUACCGCAUAGACCAACCUUUAGAGGCAGCUAUAGUAAAAAUCGUACGAACCGUGGUCAUUUUCACAACGGGAGCAAAAUUCUCCUCAUAAUCCACUCCAUAUUCUUGGUGAUUACCAAGAGCCACCAACCGAGCUUUAUAUCGAUCUAAGGAACCGUCAGAGCGUAGCUUAAUAGAAUAGACCUACUUACAUUCAAUAGGUUUGACCCCAGGAGGACAAAGACAAUAUCCCAAGUGUGAUUCUCUUGAAGAGCCAGGAGUUCCUCUUACAUUACUUUUUCUCAACAACGUUGGGUAACUACCUGAGAAUAAGAAGUAGGAACAGUGAUAUGAGAUAAGGUUGCAGAGAAACCAUACUUUUCGGGACGUUUAACAGUGUGAGUGGACCGCAUAAGAUUAGUAGAGCCUGGAGAGGGAUUAGGGUCAGGAAGAGGCGAUAGGGCCGAAGACUGUCGUCUUUAAUAGACCAAACCUGGUUUAAAACGUUCAUUGGGACGAGAGUCAUCCUCAAAUAUACUAAGCCGAGCCAAAUCAGAAGAGGAUAUGACAUGCUGGUGGAAAUAAUACUGAUUCUCAAAGAAAACCACAUUGCGAGAUAUAAGGAAGCGGUUAGCAACACCAUCAUAACAAACGAAGCCCUUCUGAGCAAUACUAUAUCCCAUAAAAACACAUUUUACAGAUUGAGCAGCAAGUUUAUGAUGUUUAUGAGGAGGCGGAUGAACAAAGCAAACACAGCUAAAAUUAUUUAACAUAUCAUAACUAGGAUGUGUACUGUAUAAGCGAAAAUAAGACGAGUCAAAAUUCAAAUAUUGAGAAGGAAGUCAAUUAAUUAGGUAUACGACUGUGGAUAGGGCUUCAACCCAAAAUUUAGGUGGAACUAAUGAUUCCAAAAGCAAAACUCGAACAACAUCUAACAAGUGCCGAUUCUUUCUUUCGACUACCCCAUUUUGUUGUAGAGCAUAUGGAAAAGAACGUUGAGAGAUAAUACAUUUUUGUUAUAAGAAGUUUUGACAAUCAUGAGACAUAUAUUCUCCCCCAUUUUUAGACCAUAAAAUAUGAAUGUUGGUAGAAAACUGUGUCUUAAUGUAAGCUACAAAAGUUCUAAGAGUGGUACUAACCUCACUCUUAGAACGAAGAAAAUAUAUCGAAGUGUAGCGACUAAAAUCAUCAAUAAACGUCACAAAAUAUUUAUAUUGAGCAUGUGAAGUAACAGGCGUGAUACCCUAAACAUCACUAUGAAUAAUCUUAAAGCAUUUAUCAACAUGAUUGCCAUGGGUAGGAAAUGGAAGAGUCUUACUUUUCCCAAGUUUACAAGUAUCACAAUCAAAAUUUAAAUUGGAAAUUGAAACUAAUCUUUAUUAACAAGGAAACCACAUUUCAACAAAUGAGACAAAAUUAAAGUGUUUGGAUGCCCUAAUCUUUUAUGCCAAAUCUCAUGCUUGAGUCAAAAACUAAUACAAGCCAAAGACAUAGCGUGAGGAAUAGUAAACUGCCUUCCUCGACGCCUGAUCCUGUACAAGAUAACCAACACAAGAAAUACAUAUAUCACAGUUAUUAUCAACCAAUUGACCAACCGAAAUCAAGUUUAUAGAUAAGUUCGAAGAUACAAAAACAUUAUCAAACCGAGACCCAAGAUCACCACCAACAGUAAUAGGAAAGGUACUGUCAUUAGCGAUUUGAAUAUGUUGUGAGCUAUUAUUCAAUGAACCAGAACUACCUGUCAUGUGGUAUGAUGCUCCUGAGUCAACAAACCAAGGUGAAGAAACAACUGAACCCUUACCUUGUAACCCCAAGGCAGAGAAGGUGGAAGCAAUCAUCUGCUGAACUAUUUCUGGGGUAAGUAGAGGUUGACUGGUGCUAGUCUGUGAAGGUCUUGGAGUAGUACCUCGAAUGUCAACCUGAAAUGCUUUAGCUUUCUGAUAUGGAGGUCGUGUGGGACAGUCCUUGAUGAUUUUCCCUGGUUCCUUACAAUAAUUGCAAAUUGUCUGAGGAUAGUUACGAGUAAUAUAAUCGUAUCCUUUGCAAUGAAAACACUGAAGUUUACUCUUCCCUCGUCCUUGGGCAACAUAUGCAACAUUGACCACAUCGGGUGAGGAAAUAUCAGCUCCCACCGUAGCUUAAGUAGCCAAUCGUUACUCUACAUGCAAAAGUUUACCCAAAAAAAAAUCCAAUGGAGGAACUGGAUCACGAUUCAAUAAGCCUGCUCAAACCACUUCAAAUUCGGGUCAUAGUUUCAUCAAGAACUAAUCUCGCUUACUAACUUCCUAAACAUCUUGUAGUGCUGAUAAUGUCGUCACAGGAACCUUAGCAUGAAUUAUGCGGGAAUACUCACUCCAUAAGUUAAAAAAGCCAGAGUAAUACUGCUCAAUAGUAAGAUUACCCUGAGUGUAAUUAGCAAUCUCUAACUCCAGCUAGAAUUUUCAAGCAUUAUUGUCUUGAUAAUAAAUGUGCUUUAAAUAUUCCCACAUUUCCUUUACAGUAGUAAAGGAGUGUAAAUUAUUCACCAUGUGCGCCUCCAUAGAUCCCACAAUCCAGGAAAUAAUUCUAGCAUCCUUUGCCCCCAAAGCUCCUUCCCUUUUAAGAUCAUCUUGAAUUGAAAUUUCCAUAUAGGAUAAUUCUUUCCAGUAAACUUAACACAAAAUGCCUCGAUCGGCAUGACUUCUCAAUGUUAGAAAAUCACAAAAUAUUUUAACCUCCGUCCACAAAAUACCCUAAUCAAAGCCCACUUUGAACAACAGCCCAUGUAUAAAUCAAAAUAAUUGUCCACAGCCCACUUCAAUUUAUAACCACACAAUCUACUCCAAGAUGCCCAAUUCAGUUAUGGAGCCCAUACCCAAACCCACAUACCUAAUGGAUCAGGCCCAGUUAAUAAAACCUAAAAUUACAACCAAACCCACACUGCUUCACACCGACCACGAAAACGCAAUCCUAUAGAAGCGCGUCGAUCACCGGAGACACAAAACGAGAGCCAUCGUCGAUCGUUGCACACACAGAUGGAGAUGCCAAUAACUGGACAGGUAAUCUCCCAUGCCGAUUGCACACACAGGAACCACAACAAUGCUUUACACAUGAAAACGCCGCACACACAGAAACGCCAGAGAAUCUCAUACUCAACUUCGACCACCUACAGAGAAUCGACUCCCACCUGUGAAGGAAGUCAGAUACCGUUCUUCUCGAUUCCAGAACUCAAGAUGCCACCACAUGAGACUUAGUGACCAACAAAGGGAGCCCAUGAUUCAGCGAUCUCAGAGGUAGGCUCUGAUACCAUAACAAUAUUUUUAGGCUGAAUAAUCUCCCCAUUCAAAUUCUUGUAUUAUAUAUUAAUAAAGAUAUACAAAUAUGGAAAAAGCAUUUUACAAGUAUGGUAAGGGAAUGUGUAAAUAUGAUUACAAUAUGAAAUUGGUAAAUAAUCUUCGUCCAUCUCUCAUUGACAAACAUCAAUUUAAAUCACCCUUGAAUACUGCGUAAUUGAUCCUCAUCACAUAUUGAAAUUUGAAGAGUUAACAAGUCUGUUUAAUAGAAACGCAGAAGUACAUGUACACAGAAUAAGGAAUGAGUGUUACAUAUACAUAUUUGUGUAUAAACAACUAUUCAGAUGGCUUUGCUACAAAAAUCGUAUGUUGAAGAUGGUAAGGAACCUGUUUCUUUAUGUAAUACUUUAAUUAAUUUAAAAGGGAAGUCAACCAAAUUGGUCAAAAAUGUCCAGAAUAAAAAAAAAGGAUAAAAUAAAAAUUGGCAUGUAGUGGAUAAAAGCCAUCCAAAUCCAAUAUAUAUAUAUAUAUAUAUAUAUAUAUAUAUAUAUAUAUAUAUAUAUAUCAUAACACAACACACACUACAAACACAAGAAAUGGAAAGAAAGAGAAAAGAAAAAAGAAACAGAAGAAAAAGAAAGGAGAAAAAGGGGAAGAAAAAGAAGGAAAAAAAGGAGGAAAAUUCGCCAACAUGUUUGGAAUUAAGUGGGUCAUACUAUUAGGCUUGAAUUCCUCAAUUUCGAAAAGUAAGUAAAAAGGUACUUAUUGUCAAGUUAUGUUUAAUUUUAAAGUUCUUUGAUUGUUAGAUUAAAUUCAAUUUUAUUGAAGGGGUUAAGUAUAAUAAAUUAUGAAAUUGAGUAAAAUGAAAGAAAAAUUAGUUUUAGUGAUUAAAUAGACUUUAGAAAUUGUUUAAACGUGCAAUGAUUAAGUUGAGUAUCGCUUGUUUAAUUAUUGAAAUUACUUAAAAUAAUUAAUUAUCGAUUUAAUAUAUCAUAUUUCAAGCGGCGAUACGGGCAUUGGGACAGCGUACCAACCAAGUUGAUACUGACGUGCAUAGUUCUGUAAGUGAAAAAAUAUAAAUAUUUUUAAAGUAAUUAUAAAUAAAGUAUAUUAUCAAAGUAUGUGCAAUUAUGUAAAUUAUUUGCUUCAUUAUGUGAUUACGAUGAAAGUUUCUCUUAUUAUAAUUCAUGUGGAAUCUCAAAGAUUUUUUAUGGUACAUUUAUGACUUGGUAUAUAAGACACGUGAUAUUGAAAUUUGUAUGGUAUGUGAGACAUGUAAUAUUGAGAUCGGCCAAAAAAGUACCCAUGAUUAUAUAAUUUUUCUAGUUCACAGAGGGGCCUUAACCUUGUUCUAUCCUACCGGAGGGUCUUGACGAACAUUGAUCUUGACUGUGUAUAUAUAGUUCAUAGAAGGGCAUUGGCCAUAUUCUAGAAUUGAUUAUGAGAGGUCUUUGAGCUCCGCUUUCGUUCACGGAGGGGACUAAGGGCCCGUGAUGAAAGUUCUUAGCCCGCGGGAUGGAUUACAGAUUUCAGUCAAAGGGUGCAUUUUUUGUGGAUUUUUCAGUAUAUUUGAUAUAAUGAGAGUACAGUAUGAUUAUCAGCUUAUGCUUAUAUCAUGAUUUGAGAUGAUACUUUAUGAAGUUGUGUGGAUAUCUCACGUUUUGGCUAUAAUUAUAUGAUGUUAUCUUGUGAAUUAGUUAAUGAUAUGAAUUCGAUUUUCAAUAAAUGUAAAAUGGGAAAAGUAUAUUUAAUUUUGAACUUCUCCACUCAUUGAGCUAUCUACUCAUAUAUUUUCCCACGUUUUUCUUUAUCAGGCAGCAAUUGAGUAUCUGGGCAUCUUGGGGAGUCGAGUCUUGAUUUUGAAUUCAGACCCACACGACAGAGUUUGUUAGUAUGACUCACUUCAUAGAACAUGUAGUCAGUGUUUUGGGACGCCGUCUAGAUGUGGUUUUUGCAUCACUUGUAAAUAGUUAUUGGGCUCACUAUGUAAUUUGCUUCCAUAUGUACAUUUCAUGCUAUUUUCUUGGUAAAAGAUGAACUUUCAG